rnacentral:rRNA from 1 species
UACGUAGGGUGCAAGCGUUGUCCGGAAUUAUUGGGCGUAAAGAGCUCGUAGGCGGUUUGUUGCGUCUGCUGUGAAAUCCCGGGGCUCAACCUCGGGUCUGCAGUCGAUACGAGCAAACUAGAGUGCUGCAGGGGAGACUGGAAUUCCUGGUGUAGCGGUGAAAUGCGCAGAUAUCAGGAGGAACACCGAUGGCGAAGGCAGGUCUCUGGGCUGACACUGACGCUCAUGCACGAAAGCGUGGGGAGCAAACAGG